rnacentral:tRNA from 1 species
GGGCGUGUAGCUCAGUGGUAGAGCGCUAUACUUAUAAUAUAGAAGUCGCAGGUCCGAUCCCUGCCACGCCCACAA